UGCAAUGAUGAUACAUUUGAUAUUCACACUGUGUGAGCGGCGGCGUUGUAACGAGCGUCCGUCGUACUGAUCACUACCACAAAAUCUGAUUUAAUGAGGUAUGUUA
rfam:Pyrenophora tritici-repentis Pt-1C-BFP supercont1.1 genomic scaffold, whole genome shotgun sequence.